rnacentral:rRNA from 1 species
UGGGGAAUAUUGCACAAUGGGCGCAAGCCUGAUGCAGCCAUGCCGCGUGUAUGAAGAAGGCCUUCGGGUUGUAAAGUACUUUCAGCGAGGAGGAAGGCGUUGUGGUUAAUAACCGCAACGAUUGACGUUACUCGCAGAAGAAGCACCGGCUAACUCCGUGCCAGCAGCCGCGGUAAUACGGAGGGUGCAAGCGUUAAUCGGAAUUACUGGGCGUAAAGCGCACGCAGGCGGUCUGUCAAGUCGGAUGUGAAAUCCCCGGGCUCAACCUGGGAACUGCAUCCGAAACUGGCAGGCUAGAGUCUUGUAGAGGGGGGUAGAAUUCCAGGUGUAGCGGUGAAAUGCGUAGAGAUCUGUAGGAAUACCGGUGGCGAAGGCGGCCCCCUGGACAAAGACUGACGCUCAGGUGCGAAAGCGUGGGGAGCAAACA